GAUGAACGCUGGCGGCGUGCCUAAUACAUGCAAGUCGAGCGAACGGACGAGAAGCUUGCUUCUCUGAUGUUAGCGGCGGACGGGUGAGUAACACGUGGAUAACCUACCUAUAAGACUGGGAUAACUUCGGGAAACCGGAGCUAAUACCGGAUAAUAUUUUGAACCGCAUGGUUCAAAAGUGAAAGACGGUCUUGCUGUCACUUAUAGAUGGAUCCGCGCUGCAUUAGCUAGUUGGUAAGGUAACGGCUUACCAAGGCAACGAUGCAUAGCCGACCUGAGAGGGUGAUCGGCCACACUGGAACUGAGACACGGUCCAGACUCCUACGGGAGGCAGCAGUAGGGAAUCUUCCGCAAUGGGCGAAAGCCUGACGGAGCAACGCCGCGUGAGUGAUGAAGGUCUUCGGAUCGUAAAACUCUGUUAUUAGGGAAGAACAUAUGUGUAAGUAACUGUGCACAUCUUGACGGUACCUAAUCAGAAAGCCACGGCUAACUACGUGCCAGCAGCCGCGGUAAUACGUAGGUGGCAAGCGUUAUCCGGAAUUAUUGGGCGUAAAGCGCGCGUAGGCGGUUUUUUAAGUCUGAUGUGAAAGCCCACGGCUCAACCGUGGAGGGUCAUUGGAAACUGGAAAACUUGAGUGCAGAAGAGGAAAGUGGAAUUCCAUGUGUAGCGGUGAAAUGCGCAGAGAUAUGGAGGAACACCAGUGGCGAAGGCGACUUUCUGGUCUGUAACUGACGCUGAUGUGCGAAAGCGUGGGGAUCAAACAGGAUUAGAUACCCUGGUAGUCCACGCCGUAAACGAUGAGUGCUAAGUGUUAGGGGGUUUCCGCCCCUUAGUGCUGCAGCUAACGCAUUAAGCACUCCGCCUGGGGAGUACGACCGCAAGGUUGAAACUCAAAGGAAUUGACGGGGACCCGCACAAGCGGUGGAGCAUGUGGUUUAAUUCGAAGCAACGCGAAGAACCUUACCAAAUCUUGACAUCCUUUGACAACUCUAGAGAUAGAGCCUUCCCCUUCGGGGGACAAAGUGGCAGGUGGUGCAUGGUUGUCGUCAGCUCGUGUCGUGAGAUGUUGGGCUAAGUCCCGCAACGAGCGCAACCCUUAAGCUUAGUUGCCAUCAUUAAGUUGGGCACUCUAAGUUGACUGCCGGUGACAAACCGGAGGAAGGUGGGGAUGACGUCAAAUCAUCAUGCCCCUUAUGAUUUGGGCUACACACGUGCUACAAUGGACAAUACAAAGGGCAGCGAAACCGCGAGGUCAAGCAAAUCCCAUAAAGUUGUUCUCAGUUCGGAUUGUAGUCUGCAACUCGACUACAUGAAGCUGGAAUCGCUAGUAAUCGUAGAUCAGCAUGCUACGGUGAAUACGUUCCCGGGUC
rnacentral:rRNA from 1 species